rnacentral:sRNA from 1 species
GAGGCGGGGCCCGCGCUCGGCAUGGCGGAGCCGGAUCUAGAGUCCGAGCAGAUCCGUCUGAAGUGUAUUCGUAAGGAGGGCUUCUUCACGGUGCCUCCGGAACACAGGCUGGGACGAUGCCGGAGUGUGAAGGAGUUUGAGAAGCUGAACCGCAUUGGAGAGGGUACCUACGGCAUUGUGUAUCGGGCCCGGGACACCCAGACAGAUGAGAUUGUCGCGCUGAAGAAGGUGCGGAUGGACAAGGAGAAGGAUGGCAUCCCCAUCAGCAGCUUGCGGGAGAUCACGCUGCUGCUCCGCCUGCGUCAUCCAAACAUCGUGGAGCUGAAGGAGGUGGUUGUGGGGAACCACCUGGAGAGCAUCUUCCUGGUGAUGGGUUACUGUGAGCAGGACCUGGCCAGCCUCCUGGAGAAUAUGCCAACACCCUUCUCAGAGGCCCAGGUCAAGUGCAUCGUGCUGCAGGUGCUCCGGGGCCUCCAGUAUCUGCACAGGAACUUCAUUAUCCACAGGGACCUGAAGGUUUCCAACUUGCUCAUGACUGACAAGGGUUGUGUGAAGACAGGUGGGUGCAACUUGGGCCAGGCCCUGUCCCUAGAUGGCAGCUUGUCAGCCCUCACUUGGCAACACACGCUUCCCUUUCUGCUGCAGCGGAUUUCGGCCUGGCCCGGGCCUAUGGUGUCCCAGUAAAGCCAAUGACCCCCAAGGUGGUCACUCUCUGGUACCGAGCCCCCGAACUGCUGUUGGGAACCAGCACGCAGACCACCAGCAUCGACAUGUGGGCUGUAGGCUGCAUCCUGGCCGAGCUGCUGGCGCACAGGCCCCUUCUCCCCGGCACUUCUGAGAUCCACCAGAUCGACUUGAUCGUGCAGCUGCUAGGGACGCCCAGUGAGAACAUCUGGCCGGGCUUUUCCAAGCUGCCGCUGGUCGGCCAGUACAGCCUCCGGAAGCAGCCCUACAACAACCUGAAGCACAAGUUCCCGUGGCUGUCGGAGGCCGGGCUGCGCCUGCUGCACUUCCUGUUCAUGUACGACCCUAAGAAAAGGGCGACGGCCGGGGACUGCCUGGAGAGCUCCUACUUCAAGGAGAAGCCCCUACGUCUUCCGAUCGGUGGUGUCUGUGAAGGGUGCUGCGAGCCAGGCUGACCAGGCGCCCAGGAUCCAGCUCAUCCCCUUGGCUGGGACCAUCCUCCACUGACUUCCUCCCACUGUCUGCCCUGGACCCACUGAUGCCCCCAGAAAAAGGCCGGGUGAUGCCAGGGGGCUCCCAGCCCGUGCACCCUGGAAGGGCAGGCCUGGAGGCUCCAUCCGUGGCCGCAGGGGUCUCAUGUGGUCCUCCUCGCUAUGUUGGAAAUGUGCAACCACUGCUUCUUGGGAGGAGUGGCGGGUGCAGUCCCCCCGCUGUCCUUGAGUUGUGGUGGACGCUGGCCUGGGAUGAGCGGGCCCAGAAGACCUUCGUAUCCCUUCUCAGUCGCCCGGGGCUGUCCCUUGCAUGGGUCGGCUGUGGGGACCCCCAGGUGGGCCUGGCAGGACUCCAGAUGAGGACAAGAGGAACAAGGUAUGGGGUGGGAGCCACAAUUGAGGAUACCCCGAGACUACCAGGAGAGCCCUGGGCUGGAGGCUGAGCUGCAUCCCUGCUCCCCACAUGGAGGACCCAACAGGAGGCCGUGGCUCUGACGCUGAGCGAAGCUAUAGGCUCUUGUUGGAUAAAAGCUUUCUUAACAGA